AUCUAUGGCCAUGCCACCCUGAACAUGCCCGAUCUCGUCUGAUCACAAAAGCUAAGCAGGGUCAGGCCUGGUUAGUGCUUGGAUGGGAUUCCACCUAGGAAUAUCAGGUGCUGUAGGCU
rnacentral:rRNA from 1 species